AGUGAACGCUGGCGGCAGGCCUAACACAUGCAAGUCGAACGGCAACACAGUAAGCGUUCGCUCCUAAGGGUGGCGAGUGGCGGACGAGUGAGGCAUACAUAGGAUACCUCUUUUACGUGGGUGAUAACGUAGAGACACUUAUGCUACUACCGCAUAUGAUCUACCGCUGAGAUCAAGGGUUCUUCAGACCUUUCCCGACUGAAUGAGCCGAUGUCGGAUUAGCUAGUUGGCGGGGUAAAGGCACACCAAGGCGACGAUGCGUAGCUGAUCUGAGAGGAUGAUCAGCCACACUGGAACUGAGACACGGUCCAGACUCCUACGGGAGGCAGCAGUAGGGAAUAUUGGGCAAUGGGCGAAAGCCUGAUGCAGCCAUGCCGCGUGGGUGAUGAAGGCCUUCGGGUUGUAAAGCUCUUUUGUUGGGAAAGAAAAGCAGCAGGUGUAAACAUGGCUGUUCUGACGGUACCCAAAGAGUAAGCACCGGCUAACUACGUG
rnacentral:rRNA from 1 species